rnacentral:lncRNA from 1 species
GUCUGGACAAGGGGGAAGGGUCCCUCUUAGACGAGCGAGAAGGAGGUUGUGUGGUCUUUUGGCUCCUGAUGUCGUCAACGGUUAGUUUGUUCUCUUAGCGUUGGGCGACACUCUAGUUGUUUCGACCUUCUGCUUCGAUGUUCAAGCAUGUAUGGCAAUGCCUUAGUACAGCUGUUCUUAAUCUUUUACAUUUCUUUUUUGCUUGUGGAGUGUCUUGUACUGUAAACUGGCUCUCAGCAAUUAUGUAUUCCCUUCGU